GCAAUAUGUACUGACAAAUUAAGAUAAACUAAAUGGAUAAGUAAGAUCAACUCACAUUUAAAAGAGCUCUAUCCAGCUCGGGUGUGAAGAGCGUACAGCGGUAUAAUCCCCGCUUAAAGGAUGUGUGAUAGGAGUCCUCCAGAGGGGUGAUGUCCAACACUCAGGAGAGGAAAAAAUAAAAGACAACUAAUAGUACCCUCAGUAAAAUAAAAAUGCAAUAAACAUAAGUAAAAUUGUACUCACACGUGGAUGGAGU